CACGUAGGGCGCAAGCGUUGUCCGGAAUUAUUGGGCGUAAAGAGCUCGUAGGCGGUCUGUUGCGUCUGCUGUGAAAACCCGGGGCUUAACCCCUGGCUUGCAGUGGAUACGGACAGACUAGAGGUAGGUAGGGGAGAAUGGAAUUCCCGGUGUAGCGGUGAAAUGCGCAGAUAUCGGGAGGAACACCGGUGGCGAAGGCGGUUCUCUGGGCCUGACCUGACGCUGAGGAGCGAAAGCGUGGGGAGCGAACAGG
rnacentral:rRNA from 1 species